rnacentral:rRNA from 1 species
GUACGGGGGGUGCGAGCGUUAAUCGGAAUUACUGGGCGUAAAGCGCAUGCAGGCGGCCUGUUAAGUCAGAUGUGAAAGCCCGGGGCUUAACCUCGGAAUUGCAUUUGAAACUGGCAGGCUAGAGUCUUGUAGAGGGGGGUAGGAAUUUCAGGUGUAGCGGUGAAAUGCGUAGAGAUCUGAAGGAAUACCAGUGGCGAAGGCGGCCCCCUCGGACAAAGACUGACGCUCAGAUGCGAAAGCGUGGGGAGCAAACAGGAUUAGAUACCCUGGUAG